UACGUAGGCAGCGAGCGUUGUUCGGAGUUACUGGGCGUAAAGGGUGUGUAGGCGGUUGCUUAAGUUUGGUGUGAAAUCUCCCGGCUCAACCGGGAGGGUGCGCCGAAUACUGAGUGACUAGAGUGCGGGGAGAGGAAAGUGGAAUUCCUGGUGUAGCGGUGAAAUGCGUAGAUAUCAGGAGGAACACCGGUGGUGUAGACGGCUUUUCUGGACCGUAACUGACGCUGAGACACGAAAAGCGUGGGGUAGCAAAACAGG
rnacentral:rRNA from 1 species